UCCAUUGUAUACGGCCUCAUCCUGUGAGUGGCUGGUUUAUGAGCUAGUUCCCAGCCUUUCCAAACCCCAUGGCUGAAGUCAGCAAGGUGUUAACCAAAGGAUCCUGAGACCUCAGGCACCUGGUACUCCAGAUGUGGAUCUUCCCAGAGAUGUCCAUUCAGCUCCCAGGAACUGCAGACACCUAUGGUUCUAGUGAGGCCCAGUAGGAGCUAGCUUUCGCUGGAAAUAGGAAGAGCCAGUGAACGUGGUGUGUUCUGACCCAGUGAGUCGUAAACUCAAGCACGUGACACCAGAUGGAAGUGAGGCUGAGUGUACAAGAAAGGCAGAAGGGCUCCAGGAGGUUGUGCAUCCAGGUGGCCCACACAGCAGAGCCCCAACCCCUUCUCUGUGGCUGUACUCUGUGCUCACGCCAAUGGCCUUAUGGGAGUAUCCUGCGACCAAGCAGGUAAGGGAUGAAGAUAAGUCUUGCUGUGGAGAUGGUCUUUCCUGAUGCCUGCAACCAUUCAGGGAGACUUCUGCAGCCUCCCUGGUCCUC